AUUGAACGCUGGCGGCAGGCCUAACACAUGCAAGUCGCACGAGUGGCGGACGGGUGCGUAAUGUCUGGGAAACUGCCCGAUGGAGGGGGAUAACUACUGGAAACGGUAGCUAAUACCGCCUACCAUCGUAUGUGCCCAGAUGGGAUUAGCUAGUAGGUGGGGUAACGGCUCACCUAGGCGACGAUCCCUAGCUGGUCUGAGAGGCUGACCAGCAACACUGGAAAUGAGACACGGUCCAGACUCCGACGGGAGGCAGCAGUGGGGAAGAUGGCACAAGGGGCGCAAGCCUGAUGCAGCCAGGCCGCGUGUAUGAAGAAGGCCUUCGGGUUGUAAAGUACGUUCAGCGAGGAGGCGUUACUCGCAGAAGAAGCACCGGCUAACUCCGUGCCAGCAGCCGCGGUAAUUC
rnacentral:rRNA from 1 species